AGAGGCUGAUAGAAGAGAAAGAUCGAGGACAGCAAAUGGAGAGUAUAACCAGAAGGCGCAGGUUAGCAUGGGUUGCCGCUGUCAGGCAAAAGAAUAUUACCUUCAAUCACAUAUCAGAGGGGAUGCGAGUAUGUUCCCUUCAUUUCCAU